GAAAGUGCUGGCAGUCUGGCUACAACCUAUGUAACCCCUCUGACACAGCUGGCUGGGCAAGUGUUCUCUCCCUCCCUGCCUGUCCCACGCAUGUCCCUCCCGAAGCUGUGAUCCUGGUCCAAAAGGAAAAAAUUCCCUGGUAGAGAAGGAGCAAUCUUUGAUCAAGAAUAUUUGAGUAGCUGCUGUCUCCGGCCAGCACCUCCAAACAAGGACUCUAGAAAACCUUGAAGAGACUGAAGAGAUGUCUCAGUAGUGAAGAGCUUGUGCUGAUUUUCCAGUGGAACCAAGUUCAGUUCCCA
ensembl:misc_RNA 7SK 7SK RNA